ACAGAGUCGGACACAACUGAAGGGACUUAGCAACAGCAGCAGCAGCAGCCAAAGCUGGACCCAGCACUGCCUUGGCGCCACUAACCCAUCCGGUCCCCUUGGGCAGGAGAAGUGCCAAGUUUCCACGGCUAUCGUCAAGCCCCGCCCGCAACGCGGGAGGGAGGAGUAGUGGGAGGACACCAGUUCAUCCGGACUGAGGACUCCGAACUGCACGCUCUUGAUGGUGCGCAGCGGGCAUGCGCUGCCCCCGGAGCGGGGGCCACCCCCCAUGCAUGGCGGACGCAGGCGCGCUGCGCAGGCGCAAACCUCAGUACAAAAAGCCUGCGCCGCCUCCACUUAAGCGCUCAGACCUCGUCCGGGCGGCGGCUGGGUAGUAUCUACCCGAUUUGGGAAGAAAAAGCCGGAGGAGGGAAAGGUCGGGGAGGGAAGGAGGCGGGGGAACGUUAAGGGGUGAAAGGAGCUCUCCUCCGACCUUCCGGAGAUUUUUCCGCCUCCCAAAAAGACAAAAAUGAGGAAGGGAAAGGAAAAGGUUUCGGGGGAAGAAGAAGAAAAAGGGAAACCGAGGGUGAAGGGCGGAGAGUGGAAGACCCUCGCGCCCAGGCACAGAAACGCUCUUACAUAAGGCUCUGGACAAAUGAGAAAGAGACAGCCAGAGCGCCCCACCACUGUAGGACUCCUGCCUGGACCCUGGGGCGCAGCUUCCCAUGUUCCUGGGCCCUAGUGUCCCACUUCCUGACCCUGAGCCCCCACAUCGCGCCUGCUUCCCUGCCCACCCCCCCCCCGCUCCCUGCGCCAAGUCCCAGCCUAAGCUGGUGCCAGCACCUGCUGCAGGUGCCCAGGCUGCCAAGGGAAGGGCCGCUGCUCCUCCCAGCCCAGCGAUUCCCCACAGGAGGAAGCCCGCCUCCUAGGUAAAUCAGGCCACUUCUGCUGGACCUUGGGCAGAGAAUUGAUUUUUGUUUUCCCCUGGCAGUUUGCCUUUUGAUUCUCUUCUCCUGCCUGGGGCUUCAAGGCACGUAGGUCUCCGUGCCCAAGCCUGGAUGUCGACCUGGAAUUCAGGUGACUGUCGCCCCCACACCCCCACCUCCCAGACCGCCCUUCCAUUGGCCCUCAGCUACCCUGAGGAUACCCCCUAAGCCCCAAUAAAGAGAGCAACCAUGA